rnacentral:rRNA from 1 species
AUGAACGCUAGCGGCAGGCUUAAUACAUGCAAGUCGUGGGGCAGCAGGGGUAGCAAUACCCGCUGGCGACCGGCAAACGGGUGAGGAACAUGUACGCAACCUACCUUUAACUGGAGGAUAGCCCCUCGAAAGAGGGAUUAAUACUCCGUAACAUAAUGAAGUGGCAUCGCUUUAUUAUUAUAGCUCCGGCGGUUAAAGAUGGGCGUGCAGCUGAUUAGGCAGUUGGCGGGGUAACGGCCCACCAAACCUACGAUCAGUAACUGGUGUGAGAGCACGACCAGUCACACGGGCACUGAGACACGGGCCCGACUCCUACGGGAGGCAGCAGUAAGGAAUAUUGGUCAAUGGAGGCAACUCUGAACCAGCCAUGCCGCGUGAAGGAUUAAGGCCCUCUGGGUUGUAAACUUCUUUUAUAUGGUAAGAAAUGUUCUGAUUCUUCAGAGCUUGACGGUACCAUAGGAAUAAGCACCGGCUAACUCCGUGC